UUGCUUCAGAAGGUGUCUGUUUGCUAGUAGAGCUCAGUGCAGUGUAGCAGUGCUGACAUAUUCAUUCCACUGGAGAGAUGCCUGCAGUCAUUCUUGGGAGGUGACUCACUGAAAAACUCCCACAGUCGAGACUAUUUGUCCGUUCUAAAUUAAACAUCUUACAGUAAGAACAGAAAUCCUCCCUUAGGAUCUGCUGGAGGCUCUUACAUGGAAAGAGGACGGGUUGUUCUUGCAGCUGGAGUCCCUUGCCAGAAAGUUCUACCAUCUGAUUGCUUCUUGUGUGUGAAGAGUAAUAGGACAUGGAGACAAUGAAGCUGCUUCUACUGUGUAAGGCAGCAAUUUCCCUUUUCAUACCACCAUGGCUGCUGAACAGCAUGAAAUGUGAAAAGGCUCAGUCUCUGUAAUGAAGUCAAUAUCUCCUCAUCUCUGAAGAAUAAGAGGAAUUUCAACCAAGAGAGCAGACUGGCUUACUUUAUCUUAAUUUCUCAUUUUAGUUUCUACUUUGCAUUUCUCAGCAAGUCCCUGCUUUUUUUUGCAGUCACUGGAGGAUAAAUUAGCUUAAGAUCCUGCUUACUACUACUACUUCAGCAUUUAUACAAUUUCUGAUCAACCUAUACUUGACAUGUAACCUAUACUCCUUCUGAAUUUGUUGUAAAGAUUUUCAUGGGACUCGUGUUCUCCAGACCAGAUCCUGUUUUGUUAUUUCAGUUUGAAACCACAGCACUUGCACUGAAACUUUAACAUUUUAUAUCUCCAUCCACAUCUAUGAAAUCUGUGAUUUACUUGAAGUAUUUUGGAUUUGCACUGGAUAAGUUGAAUAUGACUGUAAAGAAAUUUAUUAUGUAGAUUUACUCCACCAAAUAACCACAAUGGUUAUAAAUCUUUCAAAACUCAGGUUAAAUUAAUUUAUAGCCUGAUGCUGACAUUUUAAGGCAUAAGUUCUGGAAGCUGUUUUCUAAUAGACUGCAGGGUUACUAUUAUGUAGAUUUUGCUCAUUUUUCCUUGUCUGUAAUAGGCAGACUUAAUUUGUGUCUUCUGAAUUUUACAUCAUAAAUGCAAUUGUAUAGAAACUUUGAACAGAGUGGGACCUUCAGCUAAGAGAAAGCAAAGGUUACAUCCAAUGAAAGACAAGGGCAUUCAGAUAGUUUCUACCACUGUCAUUCCUCAAAAGAUAAAAUUAUCUGGUCAAAUAUUUAAACCUGCCUGAAAUGUCCAACAAAACUGUAUUAGAGAAAAUGGCAGUUGACUUCUGAUUAGCUUUGUAAUUUUAUAAAAUUUUGUCCCAUUAAUUCUUCAUAUAAAUGCACUUAGCAAAAGGCUAAGUUAGACUAAUUCAGACAGGCAUAUUUUAAGGUAAUGCUUAUAUUUUAAAAGUUUAUAAUUUUCUCAACAAUGUGAAAAAAGCCUUGGACAUCAUAAUAAACACUAUAAGUCUAAUUAACAGUCUAGGUCACCACAAAUAAUUUCUGCUAAAGACGAUGGGCUGACAGCUCUCUUUGAUGCCAGCCCUCUUUGCUGCCAGCCCUCUGUGAGGAGCAUGUUUUCUGUGUCCCUUGGUCUUAUUCUGGAGACUUCGUCCCCAGGUUUUGACCUAGACCCUGUCAUCAUGCUGUGCUUUUUUUUUUUACUCUAAGGUAUGUCUGUAGCUUUGGGACCAAGGCUGUGCUAUGUAAAGCCUGAUCCUCCAAAGCACAAACACUCUGCCCUUGAUGAGGUACAUGCAUAACAUUUAACUAGCACACCAAUUUUUGUCCCAUAGAUUCUACAUGAAUAAAAUGUAUACAUGCAUGUAACCAUUUUCCUGGAUCCUGCCCACAAUGCUGAGACUUAGAAAGUGUGAACCCAUAUUCUGUCAUUAAUGAAUCACCAUGCAUAUUGUUGAUACAACUUCAGCUGUGACGAACCUCAGCUUCUGGCAUGAGUCACUCAGGAGGGGUCAGAGAGGAUAAUGUGGACUUUGGAAACUUUGUCUCCUGAAAGGACAGACACACUUCACCCCUCCACCUGUACCACAUGGAUCAUUUUUGAGACCACACAUGGGUUUUACACAAGCUGCAGAAGACUCAGAAAAAUGCAGUGGUCAGGGCUGAAAUUCACGCAUCUGUGUCCUGAUGUUGUGUUGAAUGAAGUGGUGUCCUGCUGCCAUUCCCAGAGCUGCCCAGGGUACAGCCAGGCAGUAAAUCUCAACCCACAGUGUGAGAGACAGCCCUUCACUUGGCAUUGGAUCUCAUGGGAAUGAAGGAGUGCUCUUACUGAGGAGAAAAGGUCUGGAUGAUCCUGAGACUGACAUGCGAUAAACACAUGUUUGAAACAUGGUAUUUAUUUGCUUGUUAUUUUAUGGUAGAAAGGCCAAAGAUCUAAGAACACCUUUUUUUUUUUUCAAGUCCAGACAUAAUCUGCAAAUACAACUGAAAAGAUUUGGGCAACCUCAACUUUCCUGUACCUACCAACAAUAACUCCUUCCACUUGCUCUAGGAAAUAUCCCCGAUUGUAGUAAGGUGGCUGGAACUCAAAAUGUUUUCCUAAAGUUUUGCAUCCCUUACAGCUUCUGAUUUUGAGUUGCAGAUGAAAUAUUCUGGUCACACCAAACCCAGGCCAUGUAAGCAUGACAUUUAAAUCCUCAUGUCCUGCUUGAUUUCUCUAUGCUAUUAGAGGUUCCUGUGCUAAACUGAAGGAGUUACAUUACUUUGGCAUUUAGGAUCAAACCAUCAGUCCACAGGCUAUGAAGGGAUUUAUAUGCAAACUUCUGUUUUUGAAUACCUGUGUAUUCCAGGACAAAAUGGGCCCUGAUAUGAAUGAAGGCAAUAAGUACCAUAACUGAAAACUGUCAAGGAGAUGUCCUAGAAAACUGUCAAGGAAGUUCAAAGUUUACCAUUUGCUUGUUAGCAGAAGUUUCUUGAAAGCACAAUAUUUGGAAGAAACCAAAUCCAGAUGUGAAAGUACCAUGCCAGCAUCUCACCUGAGCUCUGGACUGCCAGGGAGCCAAGAAGAUCUCAUUCAACUCUUGUGUUUUCACUGAGCUGCUCUCCUACCUUUCACUGAAGAAGGCUGAGGUCCAGUAAACACAGCUGGGAAUUUUAAAGGAGAUGGCAGAUGGUCAAAGGGAAUUCACAAGGUGGGGGACAUGGCCUGCUAUACAACAGACUGUAAAAAUGGUAACUCUCAUCCACUGCUCUAAACCUCACAGUCAAACAUUUAUUAAUGUCACCUGACACAGUAAUAUCAAGCACAGGCUGCUCCCUGUGGUUAUCUGGUGACAGUGGGACAAGUGACACCAGUGUGGGGGCAUGCCUGUCUAGGCACACAAAUAUUGUAGGAAUGGAAGAGUUUUGAGAUUUCUUUCCUUUUGUGCAAUUUGGCUUUUAAACACAUAAGUUAUGAAGGAGAAUAGAUGAUAAUAUCAUAGUAUAAAUCAGUCUAAAAGAACCAUUGCUAAAUUAGAUGAAAUACAAUGAACAGUAUUGCAAUGCACUGAUAGCCAAUUUGAGAAGGUUUGAUUUCCAGUGAGAACUAUGACACAAAUGUAGACAGAUUUGCAACAAGAAGAACGUAAACUUCAAGUUCUGAAUUUCAGCUUUCCUCUGAACUGGAGGAAGAAACCAUCCACGUAUGCAGCACUUGAUAAAUUACUCCCUUUUGUUUAUUAUUAGCAUUAUUUAAAAAAAAAUCUGGUUUAUGAUUAUUUGUUUUGGAUAGCAGAGUUAUCCCUGAUUAUUGAAGGCCUCCAAAGUGUCUAUCAUUAGCAAACAUUCAUUAGAGGUCAUUCUUCAAAUUCAGAAUGAAUAUUGCUGUUUUCCUUUGCCAAAUGAAGAUACAGCCUUCAGGGCCCCAGUUUCUGCUACAGUCGUCUUCCUUGGUCUGGUGGGGUCAGGGGAGUUAAUUUUUAUACCUAAAUAAAUAAUGUGUGUAUAAUAACAGGUAUUCCUAAAAGGCAUAGGAACAAUUAAACCUAUAUUUGACAUUAUCAACCCACCCUUCUUCCUAAAGCGUGGAAACAAAGGAAGGACUUGCAUGUCCUUUACAUUAUCACUGUCUGUACUGUCACAAUGUUCUCUAGUCCUGAUUUCUGACGAAUAUCAGGUCUCACCAUAUCCUUUCUGCCCAACAGAGGAGCUUUCUACUGUCAGUGGUGCUGUCCCAGUGGUACUUCUGGAUUUUGAGUGUCCCAUUAACAUCAUUCAGUGUCUGGCAUGCUGGACACUGUGGGAACUCAGUACAUCACUCCGGAUGUCCAGAGCUACCGAGACAACCCUUGGGGGGCUCGGAGGUCCCGGAAUGUUGCCAAAAGUACCUGGUGGCUUGACUUUGAUCCUUUUAAAGAAAUGACACCUGAAGGAUAAACGGAUUGCCAUACUGGGGACUCAAUCUUCAUGCAAUAUCCUCAAUGCCUCCUUUUUGCCCCAGUUCUUGUGUAGAUGUUUUAAUUGUCACACAGGAGCCCCUAAAACUUCACAACUGAGAGAAAAGGAUGAAGCUCUGGAAGGAUUGUUAAGAGUUGAGAUCAGCUGAUGACAGCAACUUUUCCCUGGAUUUUCCUAUGGCAUGGAAAUAGAGAUGUAGUGUGAGUAGCUGUCCUUGACAUAUUUUGAAUCCUGCUGGCUUUCAGUACAAAAAGCAAUACUUUGGUGGUAUAAGUAAAAUAAAAUUUGCCAAAAAUUA